rnacentral:rRNA from 1 species
GUACACGCUGUGACUAGCAUAUCAAUAAGCGGAGGAAAAGAAACUAACAAGGAUUCCCCUAGUAACGGCGAGUGAAGCGGGAAGAGCUCAAAUUUGAAAUCUUAAAGGGUUUCCCUUUACGAAUUGUAGUUUAAAGAAGUGUUUUCUGUUGAGGUUUUGGUAAAAGUUCUUUGGAAUAGGACAUCAUAGAGGGUGAGAAUCCCGUAUUUGACCUUUACUUUCAACUUUGUGAUACACUUUCAAAGAGUCGGAUUGUUUGGGAAUGCAGUCCAAAAUGGGUGGUAAAUUUCAUCUAAAGCUAAAUAUUGGCGAGAGACCGAUAGCGAACAAGUACCGUGAGGGAAAGAUGAAAAGAACUUUGAAAAGAGAGUUAAACAGUACGUGAAAUUGUCAAAAGGGAAGCGUUUGACACCAGUGUUGUUUUUCUGAAAAUCAAUUAAAGAACUGUUUAUGCUAAGUUGUUUAGACUUUAUCAGCUAACUGUUUAGUUUUGAGCUUUUCUUUAAUGCACUUUUCAGUUAACAAGUCAACAUCAAUUUCUUUUGCUGUAAAAAAGCUUGAGGAAGGUGGCUUGAGAUUCGUCUUAAGUGUUUAUAGCCUCUUGCCUAUGCAGUCGGAGAGAUUGAGGUCUGCAGCGUAGAUCCUUCGGGGCUAAAUGCAUUUGUGCUAAGUUAUAGCAUUUUAUAGACAACUUGUUGACUAUGAUUUGUCUUGUAGCUUACUCGCUUAUGUUAUUUUACCUACGCUUAGGAUGUUGAAGUCAUCGUAUCGCGC